UGCGGCCGGAGCGCGGCGCCAGUUCCGAGCGGCUGUGGCGGCGGGAGGGCGGCGCUCCCGCCUCCCCUGGCCCCGGCGGGGGCUGUGCCAACAGCUGGCCCCGUUCCCGGCACCCGCUGCGGGUUGUGGCUCCGCGCCGGCGACCCUCCCUCCCUUCGUUCGCCGGUCAGCCAGGCCGCACCGCCUCAGCUGGGGGCGGAGGCCCCGCUCGGACCGCCGGCCCCGAGGAGCCGGGAGGGCCCGGGGUCCUCAUCUCCCGCCCCACCCGGGACUGUGUGAGGCGCUGAGGGACGGGGAGCUCUGCCCUCAGACCCGCGGGUGGCGAGGGCUGCUCCUCAAGGGGGAACGGCCCGAAAACGGGCAAGGAGAGGUGGUGGCUCUGAAACGAAGACAAAACUGAACAGCGGAGUCAGUUACACUGUGAAGCGGCAUUAUUUCUUUUAUCAAUACUGGGGACCAUCCUCCACAAGUGCUGCCAAGACUGGAUGCUCUUGUGUCACUUAUAUUCACAUAAUUAUUAUAUAUGUGUUACAAUUUUUGAAAAUUUUGACGUGCAUCUAAGUAAUAACUGGUGAUGUUGGUUAUAAUUGUUUAGUUUCUUACCUGCCAUACAUCUAUUAGUUAAAUAUAAGCUAAGCACUCUGCUGCCAAACAGUGUAUCACUUCAUCUUCUGUCUCCUCACGCUGAAGGAUCUAAAACUUGAAAAACAUGCCCUUGUUUUGCAGGUGGUCAGAAAGUGUUGAUCAUGAUGGGGGCGUCUUUUAUAACUUAAUCACAGUCUGCAUUAAUUUAGCAGCUUCAGCUCAAGCUCAGGUUGGCGUGUGGGGGUCACAGUUAUUUUACUAAAAGAGGGAUAAGUUAGGGUAAAGGUUUAAGGAAAAUUAUCUGUUGUGUUCACUUUCUUUUUAGUGCAACAAGCAAAGAGAUGACGGGCAGCAGGCACCCGGCUGCAUUGCAAGUUAGCCCUGUCCUAACUAGGCUGGACACUCAGCCCAGGUGAACUGUGUGGCUGCGGCAUCGUGUGCGGACAAUUCCUGCUUAGAUAUUCCUGCUUAGAUAAUUCACCACCUUGGUUUAAAAGAAUGUUUACGGCCCAUUAAAAUGCCAUAAAAGCAACAACAACAAACAAAUCCCCGACAAUAAACUAUCCUAAACCUUGCAAAACUCCUUCAAGACAAUGUAAAGCUUUCACCUCAGGACAUUAUUUGAUCUCGUGCCUUCCCAGCUUUACUGAUUCUCAUUGCGUUAAUUCCGCUGUUGUUAUCAAGGGUUUGGGCUCGAUGUCACAUUAAAUCUCAGCUGAAAGUAAGCUAAAUCUGAGGAGAAUAAAUAUUAAUGACACCGGUAUAAAGUCUAGAUUUGGAGACUUGGUGCAGUAUUAGAGCGUUUAAUAAUACCGUAGAAACAGGAUGUGUGUUAUUCACUGCUUAAAUAUUCCAGAUACUUGUCCAGUCCUGGGCAGCUCUUUAUAUACUAAUAAAGUGUAACGUGAUCGAUACUGGUGCGUAAAACUCAUCGAUACGUCAGUGGAUUUAGAACUGACACCCUCUGGCAUCUCUGCCGAGAUUGUGAGUGACGGGGGGUAUCGCUGAUGAAAUCCUGCACCGAGAUAAUUGCACCCAGCACAGAAAGCUUUUUUUUUUGUGGUUAAUAGCCCACUUUUAAUCCACAGAGCGCCCUCCUAUCAUGUUUAGUAGCACUAAUGCACCUUUAAUGCAAUAAUUUAUUUUUUGAACCAUUUUAAUUGGCCUAGUCUCCGUGACAUUCUGCUCCCGGCAGCUUCGAUACGUUACAAGCUUCUUCGCUUUUGUUUGCUUGGGAAUUUCUUUGGUGUCUCCAGCUUUUGUGUUAGGUGUUUACUGCCUAAUUAUUCCUUCGUUGUCCCUGCGGUAUUUGUGACUCAGGAGCUUUAUCAGGUUCUCCCUCUCUGCCCCACCAGUCACGUCCUUCACGGACUUUUGAUUUUCCCUCUUGAUUAAUCACGAUGACCCUUCACUGUAACUUUAGUAAUUUUAGAUAGGCUUUUGGAAAUGGGGCGACCGGAUCGGCAUCAGUCGCCAAAACGUGGUAUUUAAUACACCAGCAUAAUGAUGUUUAUUAUUUUGGUCUCUAUUUCUCUCCUAACAGCUGCCAGCGCCUGGUUUGACUGCGGCUGAGCCUUAAACUGAUCUUCUUGGACAACUCUCAACAAUCGCCCCCAAAUCUCUUCUUUCCUGAGAGGAGAUGAACCAGAGCCAAGCCACCGAUACCAAAUUAACCGAGUAAACUGGAGGGUUUUUUACUAGAUUUUCCUAUGUGUCGUUGCCAUUACAAAUGACCUGGGCGACUCCAGACUGGGAAAAUCCAGACCUCAAAGUUGCUGAUUCUUGCAGUUGUUGGAACGGGAUGUUUUUAAAAUCCUCAUCUCUAAGACAUUUAGGGAAGAAAUGUGGAGGGGACAAAUUGAAGCAACUACGCUGUUGAAGAAAAGCAGGAAAAUUUCCUCAAAAAGCAUCUUCCGUGAGUUUCGCUUCUGCCCUUUGGGUUUCCUGAGCCGCAGCAGCUCGUCCUUCUGACAGCUACAAUUUUACUUGAUUUACGCAAGUCAAGGACACGUCGUUGUUCAUCAUCCUCCUUCCCAAAUUGGGUGUCGACAGCUGGACCAGCAGCACAAGAACCUCUGAGUCUCAAAGCAGUUCUUGAAAUCACAUCUCGUUGGGGUGGUCUGCUUGGGAAACCAACACUUCUCCCUGUGUUUCUGGGGUGUUUGAUCCCGCAGGACCUCAGAGCUUGUCGGAACUGUUGGUUUGGCUGUCAGAAGUGAGGAGCCUCUACGGUGGCACGUGGUGUCCAUCUAAAAUGGAUGUUACAUCAUCAGGUUGCACCAGGGGAGGUUGAGGUUGGAUGUGGGAACAAUUUCUUCCCCAAAGGGCUGUGGGGCAUUGAACAGGCUGCCCAGGGCAGUGCUGGAGUCACCAGCCCUGGAGGGCUGGACAGACGGACAUGAGGUUCUCAGGACAUCGGGCAGUGCCAGGGGUGGGGGAACGGUUGGAUUCGAUCUUGAGGGUCUUUUCCAACCAAAAUGAUUCUAUCAUUUGAAGUUAACCACAUCUCGAUGGGACCUUUUGCUUAUUUCCCACACUACAAAUGAUUAAUCACUUUUUGAAGCCAGGCGUGCAGAACUGCUUCUCGUGGGGUACGAGGCUUUUGGUGGCGACCGCGCAAAAUGGUUCGUCUGCCUGCAGAGGCUUCUGGCGAGUCGAGAACUGCAAGAGGACACCGUGGCCAAGCAUCAUCUCCUGCAAACAUCGCAUUUUUGGGAUUCAGGACAUCUGCCUUGCUCGUCUUCGUUUUGCAGAGCGUGUUUUAUAGGAAAAAGCUUGAAUUGGGCUGUCAGGAGGAGAUGGAGUCCUGGAGCAUGUGUUUUUACACAGCUUCUGGUCCGGAGCAGAUGACGUGACCUGCCCAGGCUUGACAUGAUCAGCUGGAGGGGAAAAAGCCUCUUGGAUUUACAAGCAGCUACAACCCCUCGUCUGAUCCAGAGCUGCUGUGUGAGCCCUUUAUUGAAACGUGCCCGUUCCAGUCAGUGACACAAAAGCUGGUGGUUGGAUCCUGACGCCCUUUUAAUACAAUUUUGCCAGUUCUCACGUGCAGAAGCUUCGUGGGCACCGAGCAGGAGGUCAGGAGCUGCUUGAGAAGAUUAUCUGCAUUUCGCUUCACCGUGCAUGAUAUCGCAAAAGCGUUCUGCAACGCGGUUAUUUGCAGCGUCUCGCACGAGCAGGGGGACCCAGGAACGCUCUGCGGAGGUGGUGGGAUCCCUCACAUCAGCAUCCCCGGAGGAACCUCCGACCCGCGCACGAGCUGCCGCUCUCAGCCGCGGCGUUUCGAAGUCGUGAAGACGAUGACGAUACGUGGCGGCGAUUCCCGCUUGGGCAAUUCAGCCGUUUGCAAUUUUGCUUCUUUCCAAACGCCCUCCGGGCUCUUUUCCACGUUAUAAACAAACCAGCCUGCAACAUGUCGUGCGGAAGGCAGAAACCGGUGCCCUGGAUGCUCGCCCUGCGCUGCAUUUCUGCUUAUUUUUUGAUAGGGAAACCUGAAAAUACCACUUGGUGUAGCGCUUUGGUGAUGCUUUUCAGCGGAGUUAUGUCUGAUGGAACAAACUGCAAGAGCAAGCAUGUUUUGAAAAGAAAGCCUGUGCUCUUUUUCGCUGGGGUUUUGUUUAAAAAUUAAAAAGGGAGUUCUACUCCGUGUCCAUAUAAAGGGUUUCGUGACGCGGCUGUGGGGAGUGUUCACCGCUUGGCAUUUCCAAUUGUGAGACAAAAAAGGAAACAGGAAGGAACGAUGUAAACAGCGCGCUGCUCUCUGCAUGGUUUCAGCAAACUCCAAGUCAACACAAAAUAGUGGAGUGCACCAGGCAUGGGCUCUGCUUUGUGUCGGAGCCGGGUUUAUUUUGGAAGCGGAGCAGAUCCAAAGCCGGUGAGUUACGGAGCUCCUGGGACAAGAGCCAGAGGACUCAGGCUAAGGAGCCAUGGGUCACCGGGCGCAAACUGGAGCUGCUCCACUGCAUCUCGGUGGGCAGUUUUGGGGAAGAUCGUCUUGUUUGGAGAAUGUGAUGAAGAUUUAGAAGAGCGACAGAGCUGGUGUGGAGGAGCCCAUCUCCAAGCAAAAGCUGGAUCAGCUGUGAUCUGAGGAGGAAAUAGCGAUCUGCACAGACUGCGUUGCUGGUGAGGAGGAAGGAGACCGAGGAGGAAUGUGACAGAUCUAUAAGAUGGACAUGUCAACGUGUUCCAGCUGCUGAAGGUGGAACAGGAGGAGGCUUCACCCUAGUCUGGCAAUUUCGGGAGACAGAAGAAUGAUAGGAAAGGAGUGCUGGGAAUGGAGCGGGCAGCUCUCCAGGGCCGCUGUGACCGGGAAGACCCUUCAGCAAACUUGCAUGAAGCCUCCUGGCCCACGACAGCUCCAGAACAUCCCCGGGACGUCCUACACCACAUCGAAUCGCUUCUCCGGCAGCGCUGGAGGUGCUUCUUCUUGGGGUUCGGGG